GACGAACGCUGGCGGCGUGCUUAACACAUGCAAGUCGAGCGGUAAGGCCCUUUUUGGGGGUACACGAGCGGCGAACGGGUGAGUAACACGUGGGUGACCUGCCCUCAGCUCUGGGAUAAGCCUGGGAAACUGGGUCUAAUACUGGAUAUGACCUUUCCUCGCAUGGGGGUUGGGUGGAAAGUUUUUCGGCUGGGGAUGGGCCCGCGGCCUAUCAGCUUGUUGGUGGGGUGAUGGCCUACCAAGGCGACGACGGGUAGCCGGCCUGAGAGGGCGACCGGCCACACUGGGACUGAGACACGGCCCAGACUCCUACGGGAGGCAGCAGUGGGGAAUAUUGCGCAAUGGGCGGAAGCCUGACGCAGCGACGCCGCGUGGGGGAUGACGGCCU
rnacentral:rRNA from 1 species